GCGUUAAUCGGAAUUACUGGGCGUAAAGGGCGCGUAGGCGGCCACUGCAAGUCGGUUGUGAAAUCUCCGGGCUUAACCCGGAAAGGUCAAUCGAUACUGCAGGGCUAGAGUGCGGAAGGGGCAACUGGAAUUCUCGGUGUAGCGGUGAAAUGCGUAGAUAUCGAGAGGAACACCUGCGGCGAAGGCGGGUUGCUGGGCCGACACUGACGCUGAGGCGCGAAAGCUAGGGGAGCAAACGGG
rnacentral:rRNA from 1 species